rnacentral:rRNA from 1 species
CAGCAGUCGCCGCGGUAAUCCGUAGGUGGCAAGCGUUGCCCGGAAUUAUUGGGCGUAAAGGGCUCGCAGGCAGUUUCUUAAGUCUGAUGUGAAAGCCCCCGGCUCAACCGGGGAGGGUCAUUGGAAACUGGGAAACUUGAGUGCAGAAGAGGAGAGUGGAAUUCCACGUGUAGCGGUGAAAUGCGUAGAGAUGUGGAGGAACACCAGUGGCGAAGGCGACUCUCUGGUCUGUAACUGACGCUGAGGAGCGAAAGCGUGGGGAGCGAACAGGAUUAGAUACCCCCGUAGUCCCUGUCUCUUAUAC